UACGGAGGGUCCAAGCGUUAUCCGGAAUCAUUGGGUUUAAAGGGUCCGUAGGCGGUUUUGUAAGUCAGUGGUGAAAGCCCAUCGCUCAACGGUGGAACGGCCAUUGAUACUGCAAGACUUGAAUUAUUGGGAAGCAACUAGAAUAUGUAGUGUAGCGGUGAAAUGCUUAGAUAUUACAUGGAAUACCAAUUGCGAAGGCAGGUUGCUACCAAUACAUUGACGCUGAUGGACGAAAGCGUGGGGAGCGAACGAGG
rnacentral:rRNA from 1 species